CGAGAUAUGAAAGGAUUCAGGUUGAAAUUGGCUGCUAUUUUGAUAUCUUAUCUCAGUGUCCGGAGAGGACGUCCAUUAUUUCCGAGUAAUGAUGAUGGACCUGGAAGUCCAAAUGAUGUAGUGGAAAUAGAGGAUCCUAAACAACGAAACACAACUCCAAUCAAGGGAAAGCGUGAUAGAGACGGUAACUCUAUAGUGGACCAGCAUGGGACUACUGACAUCAUAUUAAUGCAGCAAAACUCUACAUGGAGUCAUCGUGACCGAUCCAAAGAUAGUUUUUUAGACUCUAUAUCAAAUCGGAACUUGAAUCUGGACAAAAAAGAGAUGAUAGGGAUAUUAUGCGACUACAUCACGUCGAUUGAUGAUGCAGUUACCUUGGACAAGUCUUGGGUAUGAAGCUUUGAACCUUACAAUAUUACAUUAACUAUCAGAGAUCUGCAAAAGUGCUUAACAUUAAACAAAGGCAUACCGGUGGACUGUUUCAAUCUAGGUGUUCGUUGUUAUGCUUAUCGUCAAUACCGGAGGUUGAAAUAUAAUAAUACCGCAAUCUCAAAGCAUUUCAUGGAUCUACGAUUCUGUAAGAUGUGAUUUAACACGAGAUCCGAAAUUUCGUGAAGUCUAUACUAAUGAUCAGCUCGGUGCAGCAAUUGGGGGAUGGUCAAUUCUAAACUACAGCCACUUACAUUGCAAAUACUUCCUCCUGUCAUGGUUCACCGGGAAAUUUUUUACCGGGAAAAAUUUCAUGCUAUAUAUCUUGGAUCAUGUGGACAAAAAGCUUAUCGUGAUUGAUCCCUCACGUGUUCCCAAGUGGUGUGAAGAUAAUCCAUACAGAAUUACGAUUACACAUUUCUACAAGAAAUAUAUAGCUUCAAUGAACAUAAAUAGUCCCAAUUGGAACCAGGAUAUCUAUCGGUGGUCGUUCACCCAUGAGAAGGGUAAUGUUGAAGAUGAUGAGCAAGGGUAUUCUACAGGCUACCUGGUUCUGCAGUAUAUGUCUUGGUGGAAAAGUACCCAGAGCAUGGAGAUUUGUAAGAUGAGUAUAGUGCAUUGUGAAAGCGAUUUCUUGUGAUUAUCAAUAAUUGUUGCUAUCGAACACAUCUGGGAUGUUUACUUAUGUGUCUGAAUUGUUCACAGGAUCGCGUUAUUAUGCGGUAGAACUUCAUCAUCGAUGUGUUGUCAUCAGACGUGAACGCUUAUCGAAAACUGCUUCCUAUCGAAGUAAAAAAUUAUCUUAGCCGCAUCAAUGGAUGGGAUAUAAAAUAGAAUUUACUGUAACAUGAUGUGCUCGUAUUGUUUAGGUGAUCUGGUGCAGAGAACUUUUAAGACUCUAGGUUGUGCCGAUAAAACAAUUGUGCUUGUCUGCGAACCUUAAUGCAUGUGAUCAUGUGUCCGUGAACCUUAAUGUCUGAGAAAUGGUUGAUUCAGUCGUAUUUGUGAAAAUUAUAUUUGUUCAAAUCAUCCGUAUUUAUGAAAUUGGUGGUGUUGCUAA